rnacentral:rRNA from 1 species
AACGAACGCUGGCGGCAUGCCUAACACAUGCAAGUCGAACGAGACCUUCGGGUCUAGUGGCGCACGGGUGCGUAACGCGUGGGAACCUGCCCUUAGGUUCGGAAUAACUCCCCGAAAGGGGUGCUAAUACCGGAUAAUGUCUUCGGACCAAAGAUUUAUCGCCCUUGGAUGGGCCCGCGUUGGAUUAGCUAGUUGGUAGGGUAAAAGCCUACCAAGGCGACGAUCCAUAGCUGGUCUGAGAGGAUGAUCAGCCACACUGGGACUGAGACACGGCCCAGACUCCUACGGGAGGCAGCAGUGGGGAAUAUUGGACAAUGGGCGAAAGCCUGAUCCAGCUAUGCCGCGUGAGUGAUGAAGGCCUUAGGGUUGUAAAGCUCUUUUAACCGGGAUGAUAAUGACAGUACCGGGAGAAUAAGCUCCGGCUAACUCCGUG